rnacentral:rRNA from 1 species
UACGGGGGGGGCAAGCGUUGUUCGGAAUUACUGGGCGUAAAGGGCUCGUAGGCGGCCAACUAAGUCAGACGUGAAAUCCCUCGGCUUAACCGGGGAACUGCAUCCGAUACUGGAUGGCUUGAAUUCGGGAGAGGGAUGCAGAAUUCCAGGUGUAGCGGUGAAAUGCGUAGAUAUCUGGAGGAAUACCGGUGGCGAAGGCGGCAUCCUGGACCGACAUUGACGCUGAACGGCGAAAGCUAGGGGAGCAAACGGG